UGCAGAGCAGCGACCGAGUGCCCCGUGCUUUGUGCUCCAUGCUCCGUUUAGACCUUGGUUCUCUCUGGCGGUGGUAGAUGUCCGCUGCCGUGUGGGUCUCUCUCUCCCUCCCUCUCCCUGUGCAGGUUUGACUUUGAAAACAGGGAAUGCUCGUCAGCUGGCCGAAAUCUACAGGUGGCGAUUCACGUGCCUUCACCACCAGCUGAUUGGGACCGCUGCUGUUUUGUCUCUGUUUUGUCUCUGCCUUGUCGCUGCUUUGUCGGUGUUUUGUCUAUGCUUUGUCUACACUGAUUUAUUUACAUUGCUUUGUCCGCACCGCUUUGCCUCUGCCGUUAAACACACGGUUGCUGUGUUUAUACCGCUUUGUCGACUAUAUGUCUGCUGUUGUGCCCCUACUGCUAGCUGCAUAGCUGUGUCUCUGCUGCUGUAUGGACAUUGUCCCCUGCUUUGCCUCUGC